rnacentral:rRNA from 1 species
CCUACGGGUGGCAGCAGUCGAGAAUCAUUCACAAUGGGGGAAACCCUGAUGGUGCGACGCCGCGUGGGGGAAUGAAGGUCUUCGGAUUGUAAACCCCUGUCAUGUGGGAGCAAAUUAAAAAGAUAGUACCACAAGAGGAAGAGACGGCUAACCCUGUGCCAGCAGCCGCGGUAAUACAGAGGUCUCAAGCGUUGUUCGGAAGCACUGGGCGUAAAGCGUGCGUAGGCUGUUUCGUAAGUCGUGUGUGAAAGGCGCGGGCUCAACCCGCGGACUGCACAUGAUACUGCGAGACUAGAGUAAUGGAGGGGGAACCGGAAUUCUCGGUGUAGCAGUGAAAUGCGUAGAUAUCGAGAGGAACACUCGUGGCGAAGGCGGGUUACUGGACAUUAACUGACGCUGAGGCACGAAGGCCAGGGGAGCGAAAGGGAUUAGAUACCCUUGUAGUC